rnacentral:misc_RNA from 1 species
AGCUGACGGCACAAGACCUACGACAGAAAUUGACCUUAAGAAUAAGUUAGCAGUCUGACAUGUGACAGCCAUUUGAAUCGCAAAGAGAGGAGCGUUAAAGCCUCGGAGUCUGAGCAAGGCAAUAUCAACCGCCACCACAGAAGUCAGAGCAGUGAGAGGGUUUAAAUAAAUGUGGGAGUGGCAGUUCUUAAAGCUGCCGUGAGAUCAUCACACAGUCAGGAGGCCUCGCUCGUGGCCGUCCAGCUGUAUCCGGCGGUGUGCCUCGGCUGGCGCCUAGCAGCUGACUUAGAACUGGUGCGGACCAGGGGAAUCCGACUGUUUAAUUU